AGGCAGGAGGACCUGUUUUGGGCAGGAUGGACCUCGUGGGGGUGCACAGCUGAGCCCAGGCUGCCUCUUGCUUCCAGCAGGGCUCUGCCCCAUCGCUGCUCUGCUGGUGGCCACCGCCACGCUCAGCCAGGCCUUCUUGUCAACUGCAAAGCCAGUCCCAAAUCCAGGGGAUUGCCACCAAGUCACGCAUUUUCUGUUCAUCUCCGCUCCUGGCUCAGCACAAUUUCAUAUUAAAUUGCACGUGAUCGACGACUUUGGUGCCUCUCUCAGUUUUUGAGGCUGCCCAGUGUUUCUUGUUGUAAGACCAAAUGUUUACCUGCCUACAAGGCCUGCAGACUUCAGCAGCUCACCGCUCUGCUGACAUUUUCUCUGCUGGGUAUCGGUCUUGGUCUGAAUGCACUUGGGAAGCUUCUGCAAAAGUGUUUUUGCUUGCUUACAAGAAAGAGAUGAGAGAAACAUUUUUUUUUUCUUCAUAUUCAAACGUGUUCUUAAAAUGAUCAGUUGAGAAGCCCUAACACUUUCUGCCUUUGGAACAGAGACUUGAGAUUUGGCAGAUAGCAGGAAUGUGCCUUUGGUUGUUCUUCACGGGGGAAAAAAAAAAAAAAACUUGAGCUAAGAAACCUUAGGAAAAAAUACCAACAGCCUCAGAUCUCAGGCACUCAACAGAAACUUCUUAGAGGUAGGAGCUGGAUUCUCUGAAGGCGCUUUUGUUCAGUGGAGACUUGUUCAAGUCUGGCGGCUAAAUCGCUGACUUGCGCGCAGUAGGCGUGCUGCAGCCCCGCGCCGCGGGUGAGGAGCGGCUGCUCUUUGAGAUUAAAGGUUUCUGGGGGACAGGGACGCUGCCCUGCUGGGGACCAGAGCCUGGAGAUGCUCUCGGCGCAGGCUGGUGGUCUGCUAGCACUCCUGGUUGCUCUGCUCCGGAGGCAGGACCGCAGCAGCACUUGGUGAUGCCGACUGCAUUGCUCUCUGCUCCGCAUCCCUGGGCUGGAGCAUGACCAGGUCAGCCCUCGGAUACAUCACCUGCCAAGCUCAAGCAAGCCCCUGUCAGGCAUGCACGGAGUGAAGGUGUGUGCAGCGAGUAACUUGGCACAGGUGGGGAAACUUUUGACGAUCGCAAAGGCAGAUCCCCCUUCCCUGGCUAAGUACCAGUGCCGGUCUCUGAAGACUGAGGCACUUAAUCUCUCUGUUUGAACAGAGCAAGCUAACAUAUAUCUUGCUAAUCUUAUUCUGGGAGACAGUUGAAUUAUUUUAACUAAAAAUUACCAAAAGAGCCUGCCUGAGGCAGACUUCCAGCACGGAGUAUUUCAGCUCGAGCAACUGAGCUUUGGCAAAGCUGUAAGUAACGGAAAGCAGUCAUUAAUAGGACGCUUUAAGCAAUUUUAACUUCAGGCAGCACUCACGGGGCAAAAUGACAAACUUUGGCACUGGGGAUGGCUCCAGAAGGAAAGAUGUACAUGGGCCCGUGACAUCCUGCCUCUACCCCUUUGGGUAGCUGGGUGGUACGGGCAAAUGAUGGUAAAGCAUGAAGAGAAACAUGUGGGAUUUGUCUUUCCCUCAUAUUUGUGGGAAAAGGAAAGGGAAAAACUUGAAACGUGUGUCCUAAGCUAUUGGCGGGAGCUUGGCCGCGUCUAGCCUCAUGUGCGUGUUGCACAUAGCACAAAUAACAAACCCAGCUGUGCCUUGUGCACUUCCAGUGUAACAUCCACAAUCCUGCCAGUGUCAAAAUGGGCAAGCGGGGAGGCAGCUGGGGCUGGAGGCACACCGUGUGGUGGCUGCAGGCUUAAUGUGCUGAGCAGCGCCAUCCUCUUCCAUAGAGACCUGGCAUGGAGCAUCUGAAGGGCUUCUUCCAGAAGACCAGCCCCUGAGCGGUGGCUGAUCUCAAAGGAGGACCUCUCGCCACCCACUGCUGACCCCUGGGGUGAAUAAAAACUGACUACAGCCCAUGCAGAGACCUGGAAGCCAUUUGGUGCAGAAAGAUCACAGAAAUCUGAGAAUGAAUGCAAGCUUUUAAACCGAAAAUAAUGUAUACAUUUAAAGAGCAGAACAUGUACAUACAUUCACAAUGGCUGCUAUCAAGACCUCUGGCAGUUUCUCUGAGCAUUAAAGUCCUGGUCCUGGAGAUUUCUGCUGCCCCUCAGGCUUCUGUCCCUUUCUAUGUUGUUACUUGCAGUGUUUAAGCCCCAUUAAGUUUAAGUGCAUACAUUUUCUUUGGCUAUUCAGCCCUAGCCACUUUGGGAAGAAAUUGGCCAGAAUCCCUGAACCUAAAAUAAUCAGAUGUCUGUUUUUCCAUUGAAAAGGAUCCCAUUUAUCUGGCAAGUAGUGUAAAAUGGAAUAGGUAACUCAGUGCAAACAUUCUCCGAGAAACCUGUUGUUGCAAAACCAGGCAAGUGGCUUGCACACAAGCAGAUAAGGUACCUUUACCAAUGCCCAGGUUGUUGCACUGCGUGUCAGUAUAUUUGGUUUCAUAAUAUGUGUGACUUUUAUUAUCAGCCUCUUGGUUUCUACCACUCUCUUUAGAAAUACAGCAGCCAUGAGCUGUAGCCCAAGGAGCACAGCCUUUCAGACACUCCUUUUGCGAGUAUCUGUCGUGCUCCCAGAGAGGCUGUCUUUGUUUCAGGAUUGUUCUGGGCAUGAGAAUUAAAAAUCAAAACGGAGAUGGUGGCCAGCACGAAGAACCAGCCAAAGUUAUUUUAAUGAAUUUCUUUCCAUACCUGCCAAUCCACCCUCCCCUGCAGGAAAAACAACUCUCGAACGAAUAAAGCAUAUGGCAUGGAAGAUAGAGUGCCGAUGCCAAGUUUGUCUUUGCCUUAGCAGAACUGGCUGUGAGAUGCUGAAUCUGCAGAUCUUCCCCUGGAACAUGCUCUUGGAGAGAAAAGGGGAGGCACUUUCCCACUGCCGCUUUAGCCUGGCUCCUGCGGUCUCUGUUCGAGUCCUCACGGUGCAGGACAGCGUGGGGCAGACGCAGCACCACCUUCCAGUUGGUGGAUAUCAGCGGGCAGCAGCAGCAAGGUGGGUUAAGUAUUUGAGAGGGACCUGAAAACCACCUGUGUGCAGGUCACUGACUGCCCGUGAUGGCUGCUGUGCUGGCAGACAAGCAUGCCUGCUGCUGUGGGGUUUGACACCCUGCUCCUGGACGUGGAUCCUUAUCCCCUUGGGUCCAUGUCUCUGGGAAUAUCGGAGGACCAUUGUACUGCGGCUGCUGAGAAGUGAGGUGUUCAGCCUAAGUCCCUCCAUCAGCACUUGUCCUCCAGUCAGCCACCUCCACAGGUUGCUUCCCGCUCCUAAGUGUGGUGGGCUGUGAGAGAUGUCCCUCUCCCUCCGUGACAAAACCCUGGAUGCUGGCUCAGUCUGUGGCCAGCCCUCCCAGCUCAGUCUAUCCGCGCACAGCGUGGCCAGCUCAGCCCCGCCAGGUGAGGCUCCUGGGGGACACAUCGGUGGUGGGUCCUGAGGCGGUGCAGCUACCUGGGACCUCGCCACCAGCUGCUCAGCUCUGCUCUGAAGGAUGUAAGAUGCCGGAGGGACCUUACUUUUGGUGCCCCACAGAGGAAUGCCUCGCCAGGGUUAGGCGACAGCUGAAGAGGAGGUUUGAGUGUCUAAAUUUAGAAGUUAGGCAGCCAAGGCCUUUAUUGGGCCUAUCUCUGCUGGGACUGAAGCUGAGCAGAUUUAUAUAGAAGGAACGAAUUCCUAGCUAAGUUACUUUAAUCUUCCAGACAGCUACGGAAAUGUUUGUGUUGUGUAUGAGACGUGUUUCUCCUACAGACCUGAGAGAGGAGGCCACCACCCUGCUUGGACACUUGCCAUGGGGGGACACCAUGGGUUAGGACAGGGGUUCUGCCCCCACAGGACCUUCUGCAGCACUUUGGCCUGGCGAUGAAGUCCCCGUGUGUCAGGAAAGCUUCUUGCUGUGGGUAAGUGAGGUCUCUUGUUUCCAGAAGAUAGAAGAUACCUGGCAGGGUGACGAAAUUAAUGGCCUGGGGAGUCCCUUUGUUUAAAUUAACACUGGGAGAGACGGGGGGAGGCGGCUUGGCGUUUCACAUGGUUAAUGUUCCCAGUCUUCUUCUUCAUCCUCUCCUGGCAACCUGUGUACUUUCCAAUGCAAAGCCAAAUGAAUCUCUGCAGUGCAGAAAUGUAAAUGUUUUGAUAAAACCAUUCUUAACAAGUUUGAUUCGUUUAAUCAGCUUGAUUAACUGCAGAGCUUUAUGGUCUUUAAUCAGGAAGGAUUUACUAUAAAUUACCAUUUCUUGCAGUUUUGUGAAGAACACGAUGGUGGACGGGAGCCUUCCCAGCGUGGAAGGCACUUCCCGACUCCAGCACCCAGCCCUGCCCCUGCAGCUCCACGUAUUUCAGGUCCCUGCAGACCUGUGGGGCAGGUGCUGGGCUAGGGGUGGAAUGGAAAUGCGGCUGCAAAGUCCUCGAGAGACUCUCUUACUUGCAUCUGCAUCUCCUCAGUGAUUAAUCUCAUCUUCCAUUAAAGGUGCAGCAUGCCUCUUCCAGCCAGGCCCACGAGGAAGGAAGCACAAUCGUACAGAACAGCCCUCUCCUCAUGUUUCACAAACAAUCUUGACCUGCACUGGAUUUUCAGGGGCUGGCUGCACAAAAUUCCCAGGUUUACCAGCAGAAAGAGAAGAAAAACCAAAAGCAAAACCAAAAACAAACAGUUGAUCAGAAGAUCUCAGUUUGGGUACACGUCACAACUAGUUUUUCCUCUCUCCCGUUCAGUAUGGCAGACUGUCAGGCUGCAGAAUAGGCCCAGCUGGAAAGAAGAUAAUUCUGUUCUGCUCUGCCCAGCCUCAUUUUUCAGCACUGAAUGUCCAGUUGUGUACCUGUAUGAAACCUCCGAGGCCCUGGAGGGUCGAUACAGCGAUGAUUUAUUCAUUUUCAAUAGGCAAACUUGUGUCCAUGAUACAUUUCUCCGUGCCUUUUAGUCACUAUCCCAGACUGAAGCAACCAAGGGGAGAUUUAAAACAACUGAACUCUCUCCUCACAUUGAGAUUCUGCCCAAAGCACCGGAGCAGCUGGAGCGUUUACAAAGUCUCCGCACCAGCAGGUUUGCUCUUUGCUCUGUGAGCGCUCUUCCCUCGUUGCACUGCCAUGCAGCAGGGCUGCUCCGCAGCAGGUCUCAGGGGGGCUGUGAUCAAAACGCACGGGCUGAGCAGUGUGGUUUUGCAGCUCUCUUCAGACAGCCUUGUGCUUUUUACUCCCACCCAACUCUAAAGUGGAAUUGCCUAUGAGGAAAUUGUGUAUUUCAUAAGAAAGGAAUGUUUUUCAUCCUUUCCCCGCAAUCCUGUGGCCAAGCCUCCCUUAUAGUCUGUUAGACUUUGCACCCCCAUGACCUGAAUGCUCAUUUCUAAAGGAUUCCUGUUGUCCAGUUUCCCUUGGAUCCUGUGCUCAGCUAGCUGGAUCACAUCCCGCACCUUGGCUUCUUGGAGAGCACGUCAGGUAGCUCUGCAGGCCCUCCGGUGUAGAAACAGAGGAUGGGCAAAUGCCCUUUGUUUGGUGUCCUGUCACCACAGGCAGGAUCCCGGUCCUGGGGCAGACCAGGUCAGGGCAGGGUGAGCUUGGAAAAGGUGUGUGAGAUCCCUCGCUCGUGCUAUGGGCUCUGCGGCGGUGCAGGAAAAUGAGCGAGACGCGUGCCUGGCUGCGCGGGCACCCGUGCCUCUGUGGCCCAGUCCUUCCACGCGUACCGCUUCACAGGCCGGGGUGCUGCAUGAGGAGAAACCCUGCUCCUCUUUCACCUUCGACAUUUCCACACGGUACGAAAAACUCUUGGCUGUUUGCCAGAAGUUAGGAUUUGUGACUUUUUCCUUUUUUCUUCUCCCCCCCUCCCCCAGACUAAACAUUCACGUCGUAUCGUGUCCGAGCAGUUGUUUCAAUUGCUGCCAGAGACACUUGGGUUUAAGUGGCUGAUCCUCUGCAACCAUGACGGCUUUUAAUGAAAGAUUAUGUCUCCGUAAGGCCAAAAUGUUUGUUAUCCAGCUUUGGCUUCUGAAAGAAACCCUGCAAAUGUUUCUGAAUCAGACGUGUGUGAAAUGCUGUGCAAUUUCUCUAAUACCAAGGUGGAAAAUCUGUCCUUUCCCUAUUAAUAGACCAAAAAUCAAAACAGAGGUGGGGGGGUUAAAGCCAAAUGGUUUCAUACACUAUGAAUCCAUCAGAGUUUUACAUUCCCAGCAAGGGAAAUAUUUGAAAGCAGAAGAAAUGCAUAGGAAUACAUAAAAAAUGAAACCAAAUAAAUAUAUUUAAAAACUUGGAUUAGCUUUUCUUUUCGUCUCUUCAUGCGAGUUGCUUGCAUUUUGGAGCUGUGCUCUUGGACCCCCUGGAGGGCUCUGGCAGGAGCAGGCAGGGCCACCAGAGAGCCAAGUGGCCCUUCACGGAGGCAGAGGCUCAGAGCUGUCCUUCAAAACAGUUUCAGCUUAUGCUGCAGGCACUGCUGCAUGUGCUCGGGGUUGGGGAGGCCACAGCUCACUGUGCAGUCAGAGGAAACGGCAAGAAGCUCAAACGGCAAGAAGCCUGGGGUUCAGGAUGCAGCACAGUUCAGGUGGCUUUGAAAAAGAAAGUCAUGCAGCUGGUUGCUGGAUCCAAGGAGAAUGCAGUAACACGCUGCUGGUGACCUCGUGGGAGAAGCCACAGAUAACUGACGGCUGUUAAAUCGCUCUUUCAUCAUGCUGUGUGAACAGCACAUGGCGGCGGGAUCUGUACCGGAGACUGUUGCAUCACAACUCAUGGUUUCAGCAGAGCUUUGCAGAAAAAAAAAAUGAAAGUAAACUGUUAUUUUCAGCCUGAGCAGUGAGCAAAUUCUCAGUAUCUAAAUGAGAGCCCUUAGAGUAAGCUCCAGGUGUUGCAGGAAGUGGUGGAGGCGACUCAGUAAAUGUCACACUUCCCUCUAGCUCGGUUCUGAAGUGGUGUCCAAAAAUAACAUUUCAUGGGCAUCUGGCUGCUUGAGAAGGCCCUGCUGUUUUCAUGACACUCACAACUAGCCCUGCCUGGCACCUUCCUGAUUUUACAUCACCUUCCUUGUCAUGAGUGUCUGCCUUUAUCUUCCUGUCUUUGUGCUUCCCUAUAAAGCCAAAUACAUGGCAAGUCCUGUAGGUCUCCAAAAACAAAGCAUUAACCACUUUCAUCCUCAUUCAAUUGCUUUGAUGCGUGUUCUUAAAUAUUUAUGCCCUGUGACUGACCAAUACUUCCUACCCUGUUUCAGUCCAACAAGUUUUUCUUUGCAACUGCCCUGUUCCAGCAUGCCUGAGGGCACUAACCAGACACCAGGGCUGUGCAGCUGGAGAGUGAGUGCUGUGAUGGAAAGGAGAAACCUUUUAUGUCUGGAGGUGUGGGCUGUCCCAGGAGGUCCUAGGACAGCUUAGGAAACCAGGUGGCACAAGAAUGGGGACAUAGCUGGGGAAGCAUCAGGUGUUGGUGCGUGGGUGCUGCAGGCUGAGUGUGCCAGGCAGAUCCCAUAAACUUCUGAAACUGCUGCCUAGUCUGGAUUUUAUACAUUGAGACUUCUGUUUUUAUCUGAGCCUCACUUAAGAAUGAUUUUAAGGUAGUUGCCUAACCACAGGGUAUCUGCUCCUACGGCUGUGAAAAUGCUUCAGACCAGGUACUGCUCCCUCCUUAAACCCUGGUGCUCUCCUGCCAGGAGGCACCUCAGCCUCAGCCCCACAGCCCCAAGGAUGCUAUCUCCCAGCGGUGAGCUGGGUGCUGAGUCCUGGAGGGGGAUAUCCUGGCAGUGCCGUAGCUGCCCUGGCUGGUGGUGAUGGCCAUGCCUCUCGUGCUGGUGGUGAAACCACCCCGGAGCCCCUUGCCGUAGCACGAACUGUCACCUCCUGCUUUCACAAUGACGAGGUUUCAUAUCCUUCUCACAGCAGCUCUUGGCUGGAGCUGCCUGGGCUGCACGCCAGCCCCUGCAGCCACCAUCUCCUAGUGGAGGACAGGGCAGCCCUUGCCACACCAUGCUGCUGCUCCUGGUCCUGUCUCACGUGGCAGAGGGAAGUGGUGGGGCCGGCAGCGGUGGGGCGAGCACCCCAGUUUGGGGUGCACCUCCUUGUUGUUCUCAUGUAUUCUGCUUUGGUUCACCUUGUGGGGUGGUCUCAGAGUGCAUGGGUUUCAUUCCUUGUGCAGGAGACCAAUCUGGAAAAUGCUCUCCAGGAGCACCCUGGCAGCUUCCCAGUACAGUCCAUAGGGCCAGAUGCAGUUUGUCUGAACUAACCCCCACAGACUGCGUGCUGCACGGAUGUCAGGUCCUCAGCCCCAGCUGCCUUGCCCCACAGAUCUGCUCCUGUCGGGCUGCAUGACUUGCUCUUGGAGAUGCCACACUCGUGACUGCUGCUGGAAGUGAGCAAACCUGGGCUCCCCUGGUAGUGGCCUUCUGGGACAGUGCCCUGAAAUUGGUACCAGGCGACUCCAGCACACCAAAGUGUGGCUGGCGGCAGGCCGGCAGUGCUGGCAGAAGCCCACCCCUCACCACGGCGAGGGGGGCUGUGGAAGUACGCGGAGGGCAGCAGGCCUCAGCCUCAUGCUCACGCCAUGCCUGCCGCCUGCAGCCAGGGUGGAGAGGGCUGCGGGUACCAUGGGGCCGAGGGCAGUGAGGCUGAGGGACAGAUUUUGUUCCUGGAACAGGUACAUCACAGCCUGUGGAGUUUUUGUGCAUGGUUCAGACAGGUCACUUCAAGCCCCAGGUAUGGAAAAUGGAGGCUGUUUUGCUUCUUGUUGAUGCUGAGGGGACUGUGUGAGCGUGUGUGUGGCACCAUUUUGCAUCGUGUUUCUUUGCACAAGUUUCCAGGGCCUCUGCUGUUCUGCGAUAAAAAUUCAUACCUUUUCGUUGACUUAGAUGAAGGAACCCUUUGGAGAAUGAUGUCGCCUGCAUCUCAAAUACUCAGAAGUGUUUGAUCAUGAGUUUUGGAUGACUUCAGGGCCAGACUUGCUGAUUUACAAAGCCUAUAUGCCUGCUGUUCAAAACUUAUGAAAUAUGGAAGCGAUUUGUGUAUGGCUGGGAGAGGUGCUCACGUGCUCUGUUUUUAUUUUUUCCACCGUGUCUUUACAAUUUCUGAGUCUCUGGGACUUUUCGCUGUUUCUUUUAAGCAGACCCGAAUGGCUUACAAGGAACUUGCUUAAGUGUGGGGAGCCCAAACUUUGGGACAGAUUUCUCUGAAAAGGUUGAAGCUUUCCAGGGAACCUCCG